GCCCUUUUCCGGUUGAUCCUGCCGGAGGCCAUUGCUAUCGGAGUCCGACUUAGCCAUGCUAGUCGUACGAGUUCGUACUCGUGGCGAAUAGCUCAGUAACACGUGGCCAAGCUACCCUGUGGACCAGGAUACUCUCGGGAAACUGAGGCUAAUCCUGGAUACAGCUUCCAGCCUGGAGUGGCGGAAGCUGGAAAUGCUCCGGCGCCACAGGAUGCGGCUGCGGCCGAUUAGGUAGACGGUGGGGUAACGGCCCACCGUGCCCAUAAUCGGUACGGGUCAUGGAAGUGAGAACCCGGAGACGGUAUUUGAGACAAGAUACCGGGCCCUACGGGGCGCAGCAGGCGCGAAACCUUUACACUGCACGCCAGUGCGAUAGGGGGACUCCGAGUGCGAGGGCAUACAGUCCUCGCUUUUCUAGACCGUAAGGAGGUCCAGGAACAAGGGCUGGGCAAGACCGGUGCCAGCCGCCGCGGUAAUACCGGCAGCCCGAGUGAUGGCCAAUAUUAUUGGGCCUAAAGCGUCCGUAGCCGGCCGGACAAGUCCGUUGGGAAAUCCAUGCGCUUAACGCGUGGGCGUCCAGCGGAAACUGUCUGGCUUGGGGCCGGAGGACCUGAGGGGUACGUCCGGGGUAGGAGUGAAAUCCCGUAAUCCUGGACGGACCACCGGUGGCGAAAGCGCCUCA
rnacentral:rRNA from 1 species